UCCCGCCCCAGAAAAAAAGGUUUUUAGCGCCAAAUCCGUUGAAUACCCUUUCAGCUUCCCUCUCUCUCACACGAGUCCCACCCCACCCUUAUCAAUCCAGUCUCUCCCCUCCUACAUUUCCUCUCCCGUUAAAACAAAGACCCAAACAACACUCUCUCUGUCAACGUCACCGGCGAAAUUCGAGUUCUUGAAUAGUAGCCGUUCGACUUCAUGAAGGGGGAUUCAAGGACGAUUUUGGGAUUGUUUUUGCCGCAAUUUGAAGAACAAUCAACUUCCAUCAAGCUAUUUGAAUCUUCAUCACAAGAUACUGUUCACAAAUAUGGUACUAUUCACCGAGAAAUUUUUUGGGGAGUUUUUUGAGAUGUUGACCAAAUACGAGAUUGAGAAAUUUGAUUGCAAGAUUAGUUUCAGUCUUUAGCGCAUUAAGAUGCAGACUCUACUGACUCAACAAGGUCUAAAGAAAGUGUUGUUUGGGAAAGACAAGUUGCCAACAACUAUGUUCAAUGAAGACAAGGAUGAGGUCGAUGAAAAGGCGCACAGUGCGAUUCUCCUGAAUCUAGCUGAUGAGGUGCUGCGUGAAGUUAUUGAUGAAAACAUGGCAGCAAAGUUGUGGCUGAAAUUGGAAAGUGACGAAGUCUCUCACCAACAGACUUUAUCUAAAACAGAGAUUUUACGCCCUUCAUAUGAAGGAAGAUAUGCCUCUUAAGGAACGUGUUGUUAAUUUCAAUUCUAUUAUUAUGGAUUUAAAAAAUACUAAUAUUAAAAUUGAUGAUGAAGAUCAAGCUCUUAUUUGUUGUGUUCUUUGCCUCCUUCUUAUGAGCAUUUUGUUACCACAUUACUUUAUGGAAAAGACACCAUUAGUAUAGAGGAUGUUAAAUCCUCACUGAACUUUCAAGAGUUAAGAAAAAAGGUGUCUAGGUUAUAACGGAGAUGAACAGGCCGAGGAUCUGGUUGUGAGGGGAAGAAGUGAGAAAAAUGGUUCUGGUAGUAGGGGCAAAUCGAGAUCUAAAUCUAGGUUUUAUAAAGAUACUGAAUGUUAUUUUUGUCACAAAAAAGGACACAUUAAGUGGAAUUGUCCAAAAUUGAAAAAUAAAAAGAAA